rnacentral:SRP_RNA from 1 species
GCCGGGCGUGGUGGCCCACGCCUGUAAUCUCAGCAUGUUGGGAGGCUGAGGCGGGUGGAUCUCCUGAGGUCAGGAGUUUGAGACCAGCCUGGCCAACAUGGUGAAACCCCGUCUCUA